rnacentral:rRNA from 1 species
CGUGUAGGCGGUUCGGUAAGUUGGAUGUGAAAGCUCCCGGCUCAACUGGGAGGGGACGUUCAAAACUGUUGGACUAGAGGGCGGAAGAGGGAGGUGGAAUUCCCGGUGUAGUGGUGAAAUGAGUAGAUAUCGGGAGGAACACCAGUGGCGAAGGCGGCCUCCUGGGCCGCACCUGACGCUCAGACGCGAAAGCUAGGGUAGCAAACG